rnacentral:lncRNA from 1 species
AAAGUCUUAAAUCUUCAAUAAGUGGCGUUGAAUAAACAUCAAUGUCGUUCCCUGGUUGUUUUGGACCCGAAAUUAUCAUCGAUAACAUCAUAUACUCACGCUUCAUGCAUAAUCAUGGAGAUAAGUUGUAAAGUAUGAGAAGAACAUGCCAUGUCAUAUGGUUAGUACUCAAAUUACCAAAAGGGUUCAUUCCUUUGGUGGCAAGUCCAAGCCUAAGAUUCCUCGGUUUAAAGGAAAAAUCUUGAUACAAUGAAUCAAUUUUCUUC